GAUGAACGCUGGCGGCGUGCCUAAUACAUGCAAGUCGAGCGAACGGACGAGAAGCUUGCUUCUCUGAUGUUAGCGGCGGACGGGUGAGUCACACGUGGAUAACCUCCCUAUAAGACUGGGAUAACUUCGGGAAACCGGAUCUAAUACCGGAUAAUAUUUUGCACCGCAUGGUUCAAAAGUGAAAGACGGUCUUGCUGUCACUUAUAGAUGCAUCCGCGCUGCAUUAGCUAGUUGGUAAGGUAACGGCUUACCAAGGCAACGAUGCAUAGCCGACCUGAGAGGGUGAUCGGCCACACUGGAACUGAGACACGGUCCAGACUCCUACGGGAGGCAGCAGUAGGGAAUGUUCCGAAAUGGGCGAAAGCCUGAAGGAGCAACGGCGCGUGAGUGAUGAAGGUCUUCGGAUCGUAAAACUCUGUUAUGAGGGAAGAACAUAUGUGUAAGUAACUGUGCACAUCUUGACGGUACCUAAUCAGAAAGCCACGCUAACUACGUG
rnacentral:rRNA from 1 species